GACGAACGCUGGCGGCGUGCUUAACACAUGCAAGUCGAACGGAAAGACCCUGCUUUUGUGGGGUGCUCGAGUGGCGAACGGGUGAGUAACACGUGAGUAACCUGCCCUUGACUUUGGGAUAACUUCAGGAAACUGGGGCUAAUACCGGAUAGGAGCUCCUGCUGCAUGGUGGGGGUUGGAAAGUUUCGGCGGUUGGGGAUGGACUCGCGGCUUAUCAGCUUGUUGGUGGGGUAGUGGCUUACCAAGGCUUUAACGGGUAGCCGGCCUGAGAGGGUGACCGGCCACAUUGGGACUGAGAUACGGCCCAGACUCCUACGGGAGGCAGCAGUGGGGAAUAUUGCACAAUGGGCGGAAGCCUGAUGCAGCAACGCCGCGUGCGGGAUGACGGCCUUCGGGUUGUAAACCGCUUUCGCCUGUGACGAAGCGUGAGUGACGGUAAUGGGUAAAGAAGCACCGGCUAACUACGU
rnacentral:rRNA from 1 species